rnacentral:rRNA from 1 species
UGAUUAAUAUCAUGAUACGUGUUAUCUACAUGCUUAACUGGUUGAUCCUGCCAGUAGUCAUAUGCUUGUCUCAAAGAUUAAGCCAUGCAUGUCUAAGUAUAAAUUCUUGUACGAUGAAACUGCAGACGGCUCAUUACAACAGUGAUAAACUAAUAGACUUUCGGGUUUUACCUUUUGGAUAACCGCAGUAAAUCGGGGCUAAUACAUACAAGCGAUGGGUGACUGGCAACGGAAGCUCAGCGAUUAUUAGCAUUCUACCAAUGCCUUCGGGUUUUGGGUGAUACCGAAUAAUAUUGCAGAUCGAGGAUUUAUCUUCGACAAGUCUACUGUGUCACUGCCCUAUCAACUUUCGAUGGUACGGUAUUGGCCUACCAUGGUUGUAACGGGUAACGGGGAAUUAGGGUUCGAUUCCGGAGAGGGAGCCUGAGAAAUGGCUACCACUUCUACGGAAGGCAGCAGGCGCGCAAAUUACUCAAUCCCAAUACGGGGAAGUAGUGACAAUAAAUAUCAAUACCUAUCCUUUUUGGAGGGCAAUUGAAAUGAACACAAAUUAAAACUCUUAAUUAACACAAUUGGAGGGCAAGUCUGGUGCCAGCAGCCGCGGUAAUUCCAGCUCCAAUAGCAUAUACUAAAGUUGUUGCAGUUAAAAAGCUCGUAGUUGAAGUUUAAGGUUUACCGGGUUUAUGUCAUUUACCACUUCGUGGUUAAAUCGACACCGGUAUCUCUUUCUUAAUAGUUCAGCUUGUAUUAUCUUUGAUAGUGCUUGUUUGGACAUUUCACUGUGAGAAAAUUGUGGUGUUUAAAGCAGGCGUCUCGCUGAUCUUUUGCAGCAUGGUAUGAUGAAACAUGACAUUUUACGCUAUUGGUUUGCGUUUAAAGUGUAAUGAUUAAUAGGGAUGGAUGGGGGUGUUCAUAUUGGUGGGCGAGAGGUGAAAUUCGUUGACCCUAUCAAGAUGAACUUCUGCGAAAGCAUUCACCAAAUACUUCCCCAUUAAUCAAGAACGAAAGUUUGGGGAUCGAAGACGAUCAGAUACCGUCGUAGUCCAAACUAUAAACUAUGUCGACCAGGGAUCGGUUAAAAUUUUUUCAAAAUUUAAUCGGCACCUUGUGAGAAAUCAUGAGUGUUUAGAUUCCGGGGGGAGUAUGGUCGCAAGUCUGAAACUUAAAGGAAUUGACGGAAGGGCACACAAUGGAGUGGAGCCUGCGGCUUAAUUUGACUCAACUCGGGAAAACUUACCAAGCUAAGAUAUAGUAAGGAUUGACAGACUAAAAGAUCUUUCAUGAUUCUAUAAGUGGUGGUGCAUGGUCGUUCUUAGUUGGUGGAGCGAUUUGUCUGGUCAAUUCCGAUAACGGACGAGACCUCGACCUGCUAACUAGUAGUAUUUAUUAGUCGAUAUAGACGAUAGCUUUUCUGGGGUUUGGAAUGAUUUCGGUCAUCUCCUGCUUCAAGGAGUGUGUAGUCUGACUCGAUAGGUACGAAUUAAAACUUCUUAGAGGGACUACCUGCCUCAAGCAGGCGGAAGUCCGAGGCAAUAACAGGUCUGUGAUGCCCUUAGAUACCUUGGGCCGCACGCGCGCUACAAUGUAGGAAACAAAAAGGCUCCUGGUCCGGAAGGAUUGGGUAAUCAUUUGAAUUUCCUACGUAACUGGGCUUGAUCUUUGUAAUUAUUGAUCAUAAACGAGGAAUUCCUUGUAAGCGUAAGUCAUUACCUUAUGCUGAAUAUGUCCCUGCCCUUUGUACACACCGCCCGUCGCUCCUACCGAUCGAAUGAUACGGUAAAGUUAACGGAUCGUUUUAUCUGUGGCAACACUGAUAUAAAUUAAAAGUUAUUUAAAUCUCAUUGUUUAGAGGAAGGAGAAGUCGUAACAAGGUAUCCGUAGGUGAACCUGCGGAUGGAUCAUUUUUUAUCUUAAUAUCAUAAACUUUAUGUUUUUUUGGAUAAUGGAACUGCUUGCGUAUAAAGAAAUUAGGCUUUUUAAUUAAGGUUUAAGAGUAAGUUGGCUUGUCAGAUUUAUUGUCUCGAUGCUAUUAAUAUGUUUUCUUAAGACAAAUUGUUUAUAGUAUUUUGAUAAAAAAAGUCAAUUGGGUAACACCAAUUGAAUCCAUCUAGCAAUAUGUUACACAUGUUACGACAUAAAAU